AGAGCGAACGCUGGCGGCAGGCUUAACACAUGCAAGUCGAACGGAUCCUUCGGGAUUAGUGGCGGACGGGUGAGUAACACGUGGGAACGUGCCUUUUGGUUCGGAACAACUCAGGGAAACUUGAGCUAAUACCGGAUGUGCCCUUCGGGGGAAAGAUUUAUCGCCAUUAGAGCGGCCCGCGUCUGAUUAGCUAGUUGGUGAGGUAAAGGCUCACCAAGGCGACGAUCAGUAGCUGGUCUGAGAGGAUGACCAGCCACAUUGGGACUGAGACACGGCCCAAACUCCUACGGGAGGCAGCAGUGGGGAAUCUUGCGCAAUGGGCGAAAGCCUGACGCAGCCAUGCCGCGUGGAUGAUGAAGGUCUUAGGAUUGUAAAAUCCUUUCAGCGGGACGAUAAUGACGGUACCCGCAGAAGAACGCCCGGCUAACUUCGUGCCAGCAGCCGC
rnacentral:rRNA from 1 species